rnacentral:rRNA from 1 species
UACGUAGGGGGCAAGCGUUGUCCGGAUUUAUUGGGCGUAAAGAGCGUGUAGGCGGCCAGAUAGGUCCGUUGUGAAAACUCGAGGCUCAACCUCGAGACGCCGAUGGAAACCAUUUGGCUAGAGUCCGGAAGAGGAGAGUGGAAUUCCUGGUGUAGCGGUGAAAUGCGCAGAUAUCAGGAAGAACACCCGUGGCGAAAGCGGCUCUCUGGGACGUGACUGACGCUGAGACGCGAAAGCGUGGGGAGCGAACAGG